GAUGAACGCUGGCGGCGUGCCUAAUACAUGCAAGUCGAGCGAACAGACGAGGAGCUUGCUCCUCUGACGUUAGCAGCGGACGGGUGAGUAACACGUGGAUAACCUACCUAUAAGACUGGGAUAACUUCGGGAAACCGGAGCUAAUACCGGAUAAUAUGUUGAAUCGCAUGGUUCAACAGUGAAAGACGGUCUUGCUGUCACUUAUAGAUGGAUCCGCGCCGCAUUAGCUAGUUGGUAAGGUAACGGCUUACCAAGGCAACGAUGCGUAGCCGACCUGAGAGGGUGAUCGGCCACACUGGAACUGAGACACGGUCCAGACUCCUACGGGAGGCAGCAGUAGGGAAUCUUCCGCAAUGGGCGAAAGCCUGACGGAGCAACGCCGCGUGAGUGAAGAAGGUCUUCGGAUCGUAAAACUCUGUUAUUAGGGAAGAACAAAUGUGUAAGUAACUAUGCACGUCUUGACGGUACCUAAUCAGAAAGCCACGGCUAACUACGUG
rnacentral:rRNA from 1 species